rnacentral:tRNA from 1 species
GGAAGUGGACAGGGCACUGGUGGCCCUCCUGGACUUCAAAUCCAGUGGGAGGCGUGAGCAACGUCUCCGGUGGGUUCGAUUCCCAUGCACUUCCGCCA